rnacentral:lncRNA from 1 species
AUGUGUAUCAACCCUCUCUGGACAUGUAUUUCCAUUUUUAGAGCGGUCACUCGAAUAGACAAUCUUUGCCUUCAGUCACUUGUAUGGUGACUGUUGCUUAAUGGUAGACUCGGCAAGAUGACAUAGUUGCACAAAAUAAACAGCAGUAGUGGAUCAAUUAAGACAACAACUAAGAGCGUUGACGAGCGAGGCUAAACUUCUCCGCUGUUUUAGUCAGAUACGCAGAUACUAAGUGUAACUGUGUGAGAGCAAAGUAUUGCAUCACGCUCAUUUCAAUAUCUGCAGUGCCUACCUUUAACACAUUUAAAAGUAUGGUCUCUUUGAUUAGAUUUUUCGUAAAAAAGCAACAACAUAUAUUUCAAGUUAUAACACCCCAGAAAAAAUGUCAGUCCUCAAGCUGUGGAUCCAGAAUGGGAAAACAGGGAAGAUAGUGGUGCAAUCUACAUUUCAAGAGGCUCUAGAGAAAGCGUAUUUGAGAGUGACGGGACAGAGAUGGAUGAAGACUACAUUUUUCAAGAACUCCACACCAACAACUUUAUGGUGUUAAUUAAAGGCGAGCGAUGGAGGACAUCCAACAGAAUCCAGGUAACAAAACAAGAAAAUAUAGGUCCUCGUUGCAACCACGGUUGGUCGUGUUUCCCUGCUCAGACGUUGUAUGCAUCAACUAAUGGUCGCGCACCACCUCAUUGACUGUGAAGUAAGGCAACAGAUUGCUAGAAUAUAAUGUGGUAAGCUGAUUCGUACAAUACCUAUCCAGGCAUUGUAAGAUCUUACAUGUGUCAGCAACAUCUGAGCAGUGGAACACAGCCAUUAUCUUCAGGUGAUCUCGUAUUUAACCAUCAACGUCUGAGUAGUGGAACACAGCCAUUAUCUUCAGGUGAUCUCGUAUUUAACCAUCAACGUCUGAGCAGUGGAACACAGCCAUUAUCUUCAGGUGAUCUCGUAUUUAACCAUCAAUGUCUGAGCAGUGGAACACAGCCAUUAUCUUCAGGUGAUCUCGUAUUUAACCAUCAAUGUCUGAGCAGUGGAACACAGCCAUUAUCUUCAGGUGAUCUCGCAUUUAACCAUCAAUACACGUUAAGAUCACCCGCACAGCUGAUCUCAACCGCUCCCUAAAAUCUGAGCUUCAUUUGAGGUGUAAACUUAGUCCUCCUCUCAACCCCAAAAUUUCUAAAACAUAUUCACCCUCCCUACAGGGUGUUAUCUUCAGUUGAAAUAAAACCUGGUAAUCGAGCAGACUAAGGGUUGAUUGAACUAUUUAACAAUCAUUCAGUACAACUGAAAAAAAGUAAUUUCUCCUAUAAGACAGCAAUUAUACUGUGGCAAUAUCAUCAUACAGGUUAUAUCAAUAUCUCAUAUAGAUUAUAUCAAUAUAUUAUACAGGUUAUAUCAAUAUAUCAUACAGGUUAUAUCAGUAUAUCAUACAGGUUAUGUCAAUAUAUCAUACAGGUUAUAUCAAUAUAUCAUACAGGUUAUAUCAAUAUAUCAUACAGGUUAUAUCAAUAUAUCAUACAGGUUAUAUCAAUAUAUCAUACAGGUUAUAUCAAUAUAUCAUACAGAUUAAAUCAAUAUCAUCAUACAGAUUAUAUCAAUAUAUCAUACAGAUUAUAUCAAUAUAUCAUACAGGUUAUAUCAAUAUAUCAUACAGAUUAUAUCAAUAUAUCAUACAGGUUAUAUCAAUAUAUCAUACAGGUUAUAUCAAUAUAUCAUACAGGUUAUAUCAAUAUAUCAUACAGAUUAUAUCAAUAUAUCAUACAGGUUAUAUCAAUAUCAUCAUACAGAUUAUAUCAAUAUAUCAUUCAGAUUAUAUGAAUGGAAAACUCAUUUUAGUGCACUAAUUACUUUUUCAUUUCCAAUUGAUGUAACCCAUUACCUUGUCUAUUAAUUUGUCUAAUAAAGCAUGACUUUCUAUUAUCAAGAGGUCCAGCUAGCUGCAUGUUAAAUUCUGCCCGUUGGUUGCAAUUGGCCAGGCUUGUUUAUGGUUGCAUGCAACAACCAAUGUUUGCGUGCCACAUCAUCUACUGUGCAGUCGGGCAACAGAUUCCUAUAACAUAUAAUGUGAUUAGCUGAUAUGUAAAAUACCUAUCCAGGUGUUGUAAGGUCUGGCAUGCGUCAGCAACGUCUGAGCAGGGGAACACGACCAUUAUCUGCCAGCCUGUCAAUAUGCAUGUCUGGACUGAUAAGUGUUUGGUCUACACGUACCGCCUAUAAAGUUCUAUAACGUGAUCAUUGCUGACAUAGGCCUGAAUGCAGCCUGCCACAGACUUGGGACUAAGUGAACUCAACCUAAUCCUGAUGUUUCUUUUCUUGACCUCUCCGCUGUACCCCAUCAGUGCUCAUAUACCUAAUGCCCCUGGGGCAGACCAACAACAACCCACUUUGAAUGGGUCUGGGCUAGCUGCCAGGUCAAUAAUGGCAUGGCCAGAGAAAACACACACACACAUCGAAACAGGAAGCAGGCCCAUUCUGAUGACAAAUCAUGUCUGCUGGUAAGCUGAAUUCACAGCUAGGGCUGAGACAGAGUUGACUGAGCCUAUGAAUUUUUACACAGUGAGGUGCCCGCGUUUACACACAAAUCACACACGCACGUCACAGGAGGUUGGUGGCACCUUAAUUGGGGAGGAUGGCCUCGUGGUAAUGGCUGGAGCAGAAUUAGUGGAAUUGUAUCAAAAUACAUCCAUUCAUACAUGCCAUUCCAUUUGCUCCAUUCCAGCCAUUAUUAUGAGCCGUCCUCCCCUCAGCAGCCUCCACUGACGCGCGUACUGUACAUACGCACACACAGCUUGGUGCAGUCAAGGAAAGCUGACUGGGGACGACUAAUGAUGUCAAUGGCGUUCGCUAGGUUUUAUUGUACUUUUACACAGUAAAACAUCAACUGAAAUAAACACCAAACUGUCAUGAACAUAACUGAUAUAAAUGUCUAGUUUUAUGUGUUCCAAUGUGUGAAUGCGUUGUUCUUCUUGCUCUGACGGACCUUCAGACUAGUACUCUACUGGAAACACUAUCAAAGACUGUUGCAGAGCAUGAAUUCAAUUAAGACUAUUGCCAGGGAAUAUAGGCUUUCUCGUAUAUACUGUAUGCUCUGUCUAUAAGGGUCAGACUUAUACUGAGAGACAUCCUCGUAUAUACUGUACAGUGAGGGAAAAAAAUAUUUGAUCCCCUGCUGAUUUUGUACGUUUGCCCACUGACAAAGAAAUGAUCAGUCUAUAAUUUUAAUGGUAGGUUUAUUUGAACAGUGAGGGACAGAAUAACAACAAAAAAAUCCAGAAAAACGCAUGUCAAAAAUGUUAUAAAAUGAUUUGCAUUUUAAUGAGGGAAAUAAGUAUUUGACCCCUCUGCAAAACAUGACUUAGUACUUGGUGGCAAAACCCUUGUUGGCAAUCACAGAGGUCAGACGUUUCUUGUAGUUGGCCACCAGGUUUGCACACAUCUCAGGAGGGAUUUUGGCCCACUCCUCUUUGCAGAUCUUCUCCAAGUCAUUAAGGUUUCGAGGCUGACGUUUGGCAACUCAAACCUUCAGCUCCCUCCACAGAUUUUCUAUGGGAUUAAGGUCUGGAGACUGGCUAGGCCACUCCAGGACCUUAAUGUGCUUCUUCUUGAGCCACUCCUUUGUUGCCUUGGCAGUGUGUUUUGGGUCAUUGUCAUGCUGGAAUACCCAGCCACGACCCAUGUUCAAUGCCCUGGCUGAGGGAAGGAGGUUCUCACCCAAGAUUUGACGGUACAUGGCCCCGUCCAUCGUCGCCUUUGAUGCGGUGAAGUUGUCCUGUCCCCUUAACAGAAAAACACCCCCAAAGCAUAAUGUUUCCACCUCCAUGUUUGACAGUGGGGGUGGUGUUCUUGGGGUCAUAGGCAGCAUUCCUCCUCCUCCAAACACGGCGAGUUGAGUUGAUGCCAAAGAGCUCCAUUUUGGUCUCAUCUGACCACAACACUUUCACCCAGUUGUCCUCUGAAUCAGUCAGAUGUUCAUUUGCAAACUUCAAUGGGCAUGUAUAUGUGCUUUCUUGAGCAGGGGGACCUUGCGGGCGCUGCAGGAUUUCAGACCUUCAGGCGUAGUGUGUUACCAAUUGUUUUCUUGGUGACUGUGGUCCCAGCUGCCUUGAGAUCAUUGACAAGAUCCUCCCGUGUAGUUCUGGGCUGAUUCCUCACCGUUCUCAUGAUCAUUGCAACUCCACGAGGUGCGAACUUGCAUGGAGCCCCAGGCCGAGGGAGAUUGACAGUUAUUUUGUGUUUCUUCCAUUUGCGAAUAAUCGCACCAACUGUUGUCACCUUCUCACCAAGCUGCUUGGCGAUGGUCUUGUAGCCCAUUCCAGCCUUGUGUAGGUCUACAAUCUUGUCACUGACAUACUUGGAGAGCUCUUUGGUCUUGGCCAUAGUGGAGAGUUUGUAAUCUGAUUGAUUGAUUGCUUCUGUGGACAGGUGUAUUUUAUACAGGUAACAAGCUGAGAUUAUAUACUGUAUGCUCUGUCUAUAAGGGUCAGACUUAUACUGAGAGACAUCCUCGGGUGGGGUGCAACGAUACAACGUUGCAGACAGAAAUACAAUGCAUAAAGAAGGAGGAUUCCCUAUUCUACAUGGAACUGAAUCAUUUAUGUUCUACACAACAUAUUUCUACAUGAAUUUCCUGUGUUGCACCCUCCAGCACUCCCUCAAUCCCUGUAUGAUUUAUUGGUCAGAUGGUCUGGGAGCUCCACUCACACCAGCCAACUCUGUCAUGUUGAUUCAAUUAGUUGUGGGAUUAGUUGCGAGACAGGCAAACACACACACACACACACACACACACACACA